CAGUAGCCGCGGUAAUACGUAGGUGGCAAGCGUUGUCCGGAAUUAUUGGGCGUAAAGGGCUCGCAGGCGGUUUCUUAAGUCUGAUGUGAAAGCCCCCGGCUCAACCGGGGAGGGUCAUUGGAAACUGGGAAACUUGAGUGCAGAAGAGGAGAGUGGAAUUCCACGUGUAGCGGUGAAAUGCGUAGAGAUGUGGAGGAACACCAGUGGCGAAGGCGACUCUCUGGUCUGUAACUGACGCUGAGGAGCGAAAGCGUGGGGAGCGAACAGGAUUAGAUACCCGUGUAGUCCCUGUCUCUUAUAU
rnacentral:rRNA from 1 species